ensembl:lncRNA
GCUCUGAGCUGGGAGGGGUAGCUCUCACCCUGACUUGAAGAAGCCUGUUUUCACAGCUGAUCUAGAUCUGAGGAACAGGUGCUUUUAAAGAAGCAUGUGAAAGUAUCUCCUGCAGGAGAGCUCACUAUGCAGGGAAAGUCACACAGGACAGGGAAAAGUGGCUUCCCAACUUCCACGGGGCGAGCGAACCAGCGAGGGCACAGGAUGGUUGAGGAGUUUAUGAAAGGCCUGCAUCUCCCUGAAAGUCUUCCAGCAACUCUACAUCCCACCACUAUCCCAGGCUCACAGAGAUCAGCUCCUCGCCAUUCUAACAAGCAAACAAAAGGGAAGGCAAAGGACCUGAAGAAGAUGGAGGAGAAUAAUGAAAGCCUCCUUUAAAAGCAGAGACCAAUUCUUGAAGCUGAUCCCAAGUUGGCAACAGCGUGG